rnacentral:rRNA from 1 species
UACGUAGGGUGCAAGCGUUGUCCGGAAUUAUUGGGCGUAAAGAGCUCGUAGGCGGUCUGUUGCGUCGGCUGUGAAAACCCGGGGCUCAACUCCGGGCCUGCAGCCGAUACGGGCAGACUAGAGUUCGGCAGGGGAGACUGGAAUUCCUGGUGUAGCGGUGAAGUGCGCAGAUAUCAGGAGGAACACCGGUGGCGAAGGCGGGUCUCUGGGCCGAUACUGACGCUGAGGAGCGAAAGCGUGGGGAGCGAACAGG